CAAUGGGCGAAAGCCUGAUCCAGCCAUGCCGCGUGUGUGAAGAAGGCCUUUUGGUUGUAAAGCACUUUAAGCGAGGAGGAGGCUACUUAGAUUAAUACUCUAGGAUAGUGGACGUUACUCGCAGAAUAAGCACCGGCUAACUCUGUGCCAGCAGCCGCGGUAAUACAGAGGGUGCGAGCGUUAAUCGGAUUUACUGGGCGUAAAGCGUGCGUAGGCGGCUUCUUAAGUCGGAUGUGAAAUCCCUGAGCUUAACUUAGGAAUUGCAUUCGAUACUGGGAAGCUAGAGUAUGGGAGAGGAUGGUAGAAUUCCAGGUGUAGCGGUGAAAUGCGUAGAGAUCUGGAGGAAUACCGAUGGCGAAGGCAGCCAUCUGGCCUAAUACUGACGCUGAGGUACGAAAGCAUGGGGAGCAAACAGGAUUAGAUACCCUGGUAGUCCAUGCCGUAAACGAUGUCUACUAGCCGUUGGGGCCUUUGAGGCUUUAGUGGCGCAGCUAACGCGAUAAGUAGACCGCCUGGGGAGUACGGUCGCAAGACUAAAACUCAAGGGAAUUGACGG
rnacentral:rRNA from 1 species